GCUUCGGUGGCGUAGUGGUCAAGACACUCGCUUCGUAAUCAGGAAGUCGCGGGUUCAAUCCCACCCGAAGUA
rnacentral:tRNA from 1 species